GGCAGGAACAUCCAUCUCUACAUCGCCUCUCCCAUAUGAUACCAUGGCUAAACAAUGUGAAGAUCUUGGUGAAGGCACAAGGAAGAAGCUCUCCAAUUGGUUAGCCCACAAAACUCAUUACAGUAGAGGAGCUGGCAAAUUUUUAACAGCAUUUCCUGCAACUGAAUGCACUGCACUAGAGAAGAUAAUGUGUGAUGCCACCACCGAGCAAGGAGCUGUGAAGCCAAUGAACCCAUGCUUGGCUAUGAGGCUGCCUCCUGCUAGUCCUUUUGAUAACUUUCUGAAAGCAGCUGGAUGUUAAAAGAAUACAAGCUGCGUGCAUUUGUUCUGUUAUCAAUGUUGUAAAGGGUUUUAGUAGUAAUUAGAUUUCAAGGCUAGUUUUUUUUUAUUUUAAACAUAACAGUGAUAUAAGGGCUUCCAUGCAACAGUUAAUUGAUCUAAAUCCAAUCCAAUCCUUCACUUGAGCUUGUGUUGAUGCAGAAAGGGGUGAAACAUUUAGCUAUCUGUC
rnacentral:misc_RNA from 1 species